UAGUACGAUAUACGAACAUACAGCUGAAA
rnacentral:piRNA from 1 species